AGGGGCCCGUUUCCUCGGAAUUCUGGGCGUAAAGGGUCCGUAGGUGGCUUUGUAAGUUAGAUGUGAAAUCUUACGGUAAACCUUAAAAUUGCAUCUAAAACUGCAGAGCUAGCCUGUUUGAGAAGUUGGCGGAAUUCCCGGUGUAGCGGGAAUGCG
rnacentral:rRNA from 1 species